UACAUACUCCCUCCGUUCGGAAUUACUUGUCGUGAAAAUGGAUAUAUCUAGAUGUAUUUUAGUUCUAGAUACAUCCAUUUCCGAGACAAGUAAUUCCGAACGGAGGGAGUACUUG
rnacentral:pre_miRNA from 1 species